rnacentral:rRNA from 1 species
UACGUAGGGUGCGAGCGUUGUCCGGAAUUAUUGGGCGUAAAGAGCGCGUAGGCGGUCCGAUAAGUCGGCUGUGAAAGUCAGGGGCUCAACCCUUGAAAGCCGGCCGAUACUGUCGGACUAGAGUCCGGAAGAGGCAAGUGGAAUUCCCGGUGUAGCGGUGAAAUGCGCAGAUAUCGGGAGGAACACCAAUGGCGAAGGCAGCUUGCUGGGACGGUACUGACGCUGAGGUGCGAAAGCGUGGGGAGCAACAGG